CUUUCGUGGAAUUCAGUGGCAACAGAGCUUCCACCGGCUUACGAUGGAGGCUCCAGCUAUACCUCAGAGAAAACAGUCUCCCUUCCCCCUUCCACAAAUCCAUGCUACCAAGAGACACUCAGUGCACAGCAAUGGGAACAGACAGUCCUUCUGAACCAAGACUCUCCAGAUCAUGCCAGAAUACUGAAGGGCCUUCUGGAGUAAAGGAGAAAAAAAUUAAUCAGGAACAAUUUCUUCCCUCUCUUUAAAACUUGCAGAUUUG
rnacentral:lncRNA from 1 species